rnacentral:lncRNA from 1 species
AAUAUUUAUUCCAAUCCAACCUCCCAUCUUCUUUGAGUUUGCCUAUCGAAGUUCUUUUCUAUGCAACUCUUCCGUUUUCUUCACUUCAUCAGUUUGAACAUUUACGAGGUCUUCACCACAAUCCUUAUAAAUGAAAUACACCUGGAUCAAAUAGCCCAACAUGUAGAAAAGAUUAUAAUUUGAACUACGUAGGAACCUUCAGGGAUAAGGAAGGGAGCGAGAACAGGCUUGCGAGAGAGUGAAAUAGGAGUGCUUAGCUGUAGAAUCCACUGCCAACUCGAAGAAGCUUGAGGGGUACCGUAAAACAUACCACAUCCCUAUUUCGAUUGCAAUGUUCAUGUGAUGGAGGUAGAGUUAGAGUUUAG